rnacentral:siRNA from 1 species
GUAUUCGGGUCAUAUGGU